rnacentral:rRNA from 1 species
CAUUACCGAAUUGCCUACAUGGGUUGUUGCUGGCCCUCAAGCAGGGGGCACGUGCACGCUCUGUUUGCACAUCCACUCACACCUGUGCACCCUCUGUAGUUCUGUGGCCUGGGGGACUCUGUUCUCCUGUGCUGUGGUUCUAUAUAUUUACACACACACACUGUAAUAAAGUCUCAUGGAAUGUAUGCCGCGUUUAACGCAAUAUAAUACAACUUUCAGCAACGGAUCUCUUGGCUCUCGCAUCGAUGAAGAACGCAGCGAAAUGCGAUAAGUAAUGUGAAUUGCAGAAUUCAGUGAAUCAUCGAAUCUUUGAACGCACCUUGCGCCCUUUGGCUAUUCCGAAGGGCAUGCCUGUUUGAGUAUCAUGAACACCUCAACUCUCAUGGUUUGCCAUGAUGAGCUUGGACUUUGGGGGUCUUGCUGGCCUGUGGUCAGCUCCUCUCAAACGAAUCAGCUUGCCAGUGUUUGGUGGCGUCACAGGUGUGAUAACUAUCUACGCUUGUGGUUUUCCGUCAGAUAACCUUCAGCAAUGGAGGUCCACUGGAGCUUAUAAACGUCUCUCCUUGGUGAGGACAGCUCUUUGAAUGUUUG